rnacentral:rRNA from 1 species
UACGGGGGGGGCAAGCGUUGUUCGGAAUUACUGGGCGUAAAGGGCUCGUAGGCGGCCAACUAAGUCAGACGUGAAAUCCCUCAGCUUAACUGGGGAACUGCGUCUGAUACUGGAUGGCUUGAGUUUGGGAGAGGGAUGCGGAAUUCCAGGUGUAGCGGUGAAAUGCGUAGAUAUCUGGGGGAACACCGGUGGCGAAGGCGGCAUCCUGGACCAACACUGACACUGAGGAGCGAAAGCCAGGGGAGCAAACGGG